rnacentral:rRNA from 1 species
GAUGAACGCUGGCGGCGUGCCUAAUACAUGCAAGUCGAGCGAACAGACGAGGAGCUUGCUCCUCUGACGUUAGCGGCGGACGGGUGAGUCACACGUGUAUAACCUACCUAUCAGACUGGGAUAACUUCGGGAAACCGGAGCUAAUACCGGAUAAUAUCUUGAACCGCAUUGUUCAAUAGUGAAAGACGGUUUUGCUGUCACUUCUAGAUGGAUCCGCGCCGCAUUAGCUAGUUGGUAAGGUAACGGCUUACCAAGGCAACGAUGCGUAGCCGACCUGAGAGGGUGAUAGGCCACACGGGAACUGAGACACGGACCAGACUCCUACGGGAGGCAGCAGUAGGGAAUCUUCCGCAAUGGGCGAAAGCAUGACGGAGCAACGCCGCGUGAGUGAUGAAGGUCUUGGGAUCGUAAAACUCUGUUAUUAGGGAAGAACAAAUGUGUAAGUAAAUAUGCACGUCUUGACGGUAACUAGUCAGAAAGCAACGGCUAACUACGUG